GACGAACCGUGCGAACGUUGUUCGGAAUCACUGGGCUUAAAGGGCGCGUAGGCGGGUGACCAAGUCCGGGGUGAAAUCUUUCGGCUUAACCGGAAAAGUGCCUUGGAUACUGGUCGCCUGGAGGGAGGUAGGGGCAUGUGGAACUUCCGGUGGAGCGGUGAAAUGCGUAGAUAUCGGAAGGAACGCCGGUGGCGAAAGCGACGUGCUGGAUCUCUUCUGACGCUGAGGCGCGAAAGCCAGGGGAGCAAACGGG
rnacentral:rRNA from 1 species